rnacentral:misc_RNA from 1 species
CUAAGAUUUGGCUCUUCCAUCACCUGUCUUGCUUCCCUUGUACGCUCUGGUGGCAUCCUUGCACCAACGAGCUGUGCCAUCUCUGGACAAGUACAGGGGGAUUGGCACACAUAUGUGUAGAGAGAAACCGUGCAUGUAGACCAGAUAGCGGUGGAGGGUAGCGUGGUAGAAUGAAAAAGUACAUUGGCCGACAGCUGCGGCCAUCGCAGCUCGCCGCGGAGCUGCUGCCGCCUGACCAAAUGUGGUGCACGGUGUGUCACCAAGCCGUCGAGCGACGGCGCUUCCGCGAGCACGCCGCUAUGCUGGGCCACCGACUUGGCCGGAAGAAGAUGAACAAGCUGAAGUACGUGUCGCUCAGCAUGUGGGAGCGGCAUCGCGGUGCCUCCUUAGACAAUGAAAGUGCGCACGAGGGCAGUAUUGAGCAAGAGUUCGCGCGCUAUCAAGCCGAUCAGCGUCGCCGCGAGCAGGUGUCGGUGGCGGCCGCGUGGGGCCCGUCGCGCCCACCGUCGCGCGGAGAUUUGUUUUAGGGCGCUUUGGAGUGCCUGUACGUGGGCACCCGGAGGGCUGCAUCAGUGAGGAGGCGCGCGGCAAAGCAGUCUGCAGCCUUUAUCCGGUGGGGAAGUGGGAACGCUUUUGAAGAGAGUUGCGCCGAACAAGGGCAAAGGACAGCGCCCUACGCUUUUUCCCCCCUUUAUGGAGCGGGCGUUCCUGCGCACCGCUUGCUGACGCAUGCAACCCUCUCAUGGCCUGCUUCUUGGCUGCACGUGUGCCACACAAUGAGGUGGACGCGUGCAUGUUUUUCUUGCUUCUUAUUUUUGCAGCAGUUGUAGUUGCUUUCAGUUGCUUGUCUUCUCAUGUCACAGCAGUAAGCCUUAUCCAUG